AGUACGGCGAGUGAAGCGGUAAAAGCUCAAAUUUGAAAUCUGGUACUUUCAGUGCCCGAGUUGUAAUUUGUAGAAUUUGUCUUUGAUUAGGUCCUUGUCUAUGUUCCUUGGAACAGGACGUCAUAGAGGGUGAGAAUCCCGUUUGGCGAGGAUACCUUUUCUCUGUAAGACUUUUUCGAAGAGUCGAGUUGUUUGGGAAUGCAGCUCAAAGUGGGUGGUAAAUUCCAUCUAAAGCUAAAUAUUGGCGAGAGACCGAUAGCGAACAAGUACAGUGAUGGAAAGAUGAAAAGAACUUUGAAAAGAGAGUGAAAAAGUACGUGAAAUUGUUGAAAGGGAAGGGCAUUUGAUCAGACAUGGUGUUUUUUGCAUGCACUCGCCUCUCGUGGGCUUGGGCCUCUCAAAAAUUUCACUGGGCCAACAUCAAUUCUGGCAGCAGGAUAAAUCAUUAAGAAUGUAGCUACUU
rnacentral:rRNA from 1 species